GUGACUCUCGAAAGCAGGCAGAUCGUUCCGAGCACUGGUUCCGAGCAGUUUGAAACGUUAAUUUACUGCGUGACAUUUUUCACGAGUAAUAAAAUCAGUAUAAAGUGAUUUUGUUGUGCAAGUACAGAAGUAAAAUUCGAUACUGUCGCUGACCGAACUUCAAGAAGUACAAGAAAGCUUAUCGAAAAAAAAUGUCUUAUUUAUUUAAAGUUUGGUCGGCCAAUAGAAAACAAAAAAUCUCAUUGGUAAUUCAUCAUUCGGAUAACAUGUUACCUGAACUUAUUACAAAAAGUAAUAGCAAACUUGGUAUUAAUGGUUCCACUCUUGUUAUGGAAAAGGAUGGUACGAAUAUCGAUGAUAAUGAUGUUCUAAAAUUUUGUUCCGGCGAAACUUUUAUGUUACUGCAAGCAGAAGAAUUUUGGUCACCUCAAAAUGAGACGGAAUUACGCAGUACAGCAUCAGCGGAUACUCUAAGUCUAAGUGAUUCUGCAUCUACUUUGUCAUCUUUGUCAAGUACAUGACAUGCUUCAUCUCCAAUAACUGUGUCGCAUAUUAAAUCAGACAAUUAUGAAACUUGGACAAAUUUUCAUAUACCUUGGGACAAUUUGGAAUCUACAGUGCUUAAAGAAUUAGAAGCAGGAAACCGUAGCAAAUAUGUAAUACAUGCUGUUGUAAAUCGUAUAGUUUCAGAAAUGAGAAACAUACAAGAAUUUAUCCCAUCUAAAGCAUUUAAAAUAGUUGCUAAAAACGUCAUCGAAAAAUAUCCUCAAAUAUUCAAAGAUAUGGAUGAAGAUGGUAAACGUUUCGGAGAUGGAAGUCAUACAUCAACCCAGUGAACACAGUUAUAUUAAUGUUAUAUUGCUGUAACAAAAUGAAAUGUAACAAAUAAUAUUACAAAAGCAUUUUGUGUAA